AAUUAUAACACGUGGAGUAAUGCAUCCCCGAAACACUUCAAGACAUUUCCCCACAGGAUCCCCUCUCCACAUUUCAAUCUCUCACGAGCAACCCAUAGCCCCUACCUUCCAGCCGGACCUCCCCAUAAAGUCCACAGCCACCAGUCUCCGAACGGCCCACUUUAGGAGCAAGCAAUACAAUAGCAGAGAAGGUGAGAUCAAUCAUCGAAUACUUCGAGUAAGCAAUCCAACAAUGGUGUUUAUGAGGGGUGAGCCACUGGUGGCAAAGCUGGCAGUGUUGGCCAAGUACGUGGUUCUUCCGGGAGCCAUGGCGGCUGCUGUCAUUUACUCUCCUCCUGGUUACGCAUCCUACUACAACCCCACCAAGUAUGAGAAGUCGUCGAAAUAGAUCUCAGGGCAUAUUGAUCGCUUAGGCAUGCAUGCUUGCAAAUAUGCAAUACCUUUGGGAAAAGGUGUUAUCUAAAUAAUUCUCUUGACCUAAUAAUUGUUGAAUCUCAUGUGUAUUUGGAGAGAUGAAUGCAUGUUGUUUUUGUUUGAAGAACUUUGAGGAGUAGUUCUCUUCUUCUUCAUUUUUUUUUUUUUUUUUUUUUUUUUUUUUUUUUUUUUUUUGUGCGUGUGUGUGGCUUUCCCACAAUUAAUUGAUUUCUAAUCAAGACAAGAUUGUUCUGUUUUAAUAUCAUGGAAUGUAUGAAUGCUCAAAUUUAGAAUA